AGCUGAAGAGGGUCGCAGUAACCAGGCCGCUGCGACUGUUUAUCAAAAACACAGCACUCUGCAAACACGAAAGUGGACGUAUAGGGUGUGACGCCUGCCCGGUGCUGGAAGGUUAAUUGAUGGGGUCAGCCGCAAGGCGAAGCUCUUGAUCGAAGCCCCAGUAAACGGCGGCCGUAACUAUAACGGUCCUAAGGUAGCGAAAUUCCUUGUCGGGUAAGUUCCGACCUGCACGAAUGGCGUAACGACAGCGGCGCUGUCUCCACCCGAGACUCAGUGAAAUUGAAAUCGCUGUGAAGAUGCAGCGUUCCCGUGGCAAGACGGAAAGACCCCGUGAACCUUUACUAUAGCUUUACACUGAACGUUGAGUUCGUCUGUGUAGGAUAGGUGGGAGGCUAUGAAACCAUGGCGCUAGCUGUGGUGGAGCCAUCCUUGAAAUACCACCCUGUCGUGCUUGACGUUCUAACCUGGGUCCAUUAUCUGGGUCGGGGACCGUGUAUGGUGGGUAGUUUGACUGGGGCGGUCUCCUCCUAAAGAGUAACGGAGGAGCUCGAAGGUACGCUCAGCGCGGUCGGACAUCGCGCACUGUGUGCAAAGGCAUAAGCGUGCUUGACUGCAAGAUCGACGGAUCAAGCAGGUAGGAAACUAGGACUUAGUGAUCCGGUGGUUCUGUAUGGAAGGGCCAUCGCUCAACGGAUAAAAGGUACUCCGGGGAUAACAGGCUGAUACCGCCCAAGAGUUCAUAUCGACGGCGGUGUUUGGCACCUCGAUGUCGGCUCAUCACAUCCUGGGGCUGUAGUCGGUCCCAAGGGUAUGGCUGUUCGCCAUUUAAAGUGGUACGCGAGCUGGGUUCAGAACGUCGUGAGACAGUUCGGUCCCUAUCUGCCAUGGGCGUUGGAGAUUUGAGAGGGGCUGCUCCUAGUACGAGAGGACCGGAGUGGACGAACCUCUGGUGUUCCGGUUGUCACGCCAGUGGCAUUGCCGGGUAGCUAUGUUCGGAAGCGAUAACCGCUGAAAGCAUCUAAGCGGGAAGCGCGCCUCAAGAUGAGAUCUCCCGGGGCACAAGCCCCCUGAAGGAACCAUGUAGACUACGUGGUUGAUAGGUCAGGUGUGUAAGUACAGCAAUGUAUUGAGCUAACUGAUACUAAUGAUCCGUGCGGCUUGACC
rnacentral:rRNA from 1 species